GAUGAACGCUAGCUACAGGCUUAACACAUGCAAGUCGAGGGGCAGCAUGGUCUUAGCUUGCUAAGGCCGAUGGCGACCGGCGCACGGGUGAGUAACACGUAUCCAACCUGCCGUCUACUCUUGGACAGCCUACUGAAAGGAAGAUUAAUACAAGAUGGCAUCAUGAGUUCACAUGUUCACAUGAUUAAAGGUAUUCCGGUAGACGAUGGGGAUGCGUUCCAUUAGAUAGUAGGCGGGGUAACGGCCCACCUAGUCUUCGAUGGAUAGGGGUUCUGAGAGGAAGGUCCCCCACAUUGGAACUGAGACACGGUUCAAACUCCUACGGGAGGCAGCAGUGAGGAAUAUUGGUCAAUGGGCGAGAGCCUGAACCAGCCAAGUAGCGUGAAGGAUGACUGCCCUAUGGGUUGUAAACUUCUUUUAUAAAGGAAUAAAGUCGGGUAUGGAUACCCGUUUGCAUGUACUUUAUGAAUAAGGAUCGGCUAACUCCGUGCCAGCAGCCGCGGUAAUACGGAGGAUCCGAGCGUUAUCCGGAUUUAUUGGGUUUAAAGGGAGCGUAGAUGGAUGUUUAAGUCAGUUGUGAAAGUUUGCGGCUCAACCGUAAAAUUGCAGUUGAUACUGGAUAUCUUGAGUGCAGUUGAGGCAGGCGGAAUUCGUGGUGUAGCGGUGAAAUGCUUAGAUAUCACGAAGAACUCCGAUUGCGAAGGCAGCCUGCUAAGCUGCAACUGACAUUGAGGCUCAAAGGUGUGGGUAUCAAACAGG
rnacentral:rRNA from 1 species